GUAGCGCUAUGGAUAGCGCAUUGGACUUCUAAUCCAAAAGAUGUCGGUUCGAAUCCCACCU
rnacentral:tRNA from 1 species